AGCUUUGCGCAGUGGCAGUAUCGUAGCCAAUGAGGUUUAUCCGAGGCGUGAUUAUUGCUAAUUGGAUAUGAUUAUUCUAACUAUUUUUAUUCUUUCAUAUUGUCAUUUAUUUUGCUCUCAUUCUUUUAAAAGUAACUUUGAAUUAUUAAAUAUGUUAAAGACACAGAAAAGCACAACCAGUAACA
rnacentral:snRNA from 1 species